rnacentral:lncRNA from 1 species
CGGUCGCUGCCCACCCGGGUUCUUCGCUGCUUCUAGUUCCGGGCGCUUUGCCGGGCGUUAAUGGCGGCCAACAUCGCCGGUGCUGCGGCUUUCUCCCUAAAGUGUCACAGGAGCUAAGGGCGCUGCUUAACGAACUGCAGAAGACGCAGGCAGUUUCCCUUCCCAGACUCUGAUAACGACCAUUCUAUUCUCUAUCUCCAUGGUAUCUACUAUUUUACCUCCCAUAUGUAAGUGAGAAUAUGUAAUAUUUGUCUUUCUGUCCCUGGAUCAUUUCACUUAGCAUAAUGUCCUCCAGCUCCAUCUAUGUUGUUGCACAUGAACAUGAAGCAUACUGAAGUAGAGACGGCAGGAUUUUCUCAUGCAUGGAAUAUGGGAUGUGAAUGAAAACAGAAGGAUCACUUGAUGGCUGCGGACCUGAGCAACUGGAGGGAUGGAGUUGCAAUUAGGUGAAGUGAGGAAUUCAGCAGGGGAAGCAAGUUUUGGGGCAGAAGAUUUUAUCAGGGAUAUUUUAGUAAUUAAAUAGUU